UACGUAGGGUGCGAGCGUUAAUCGGAAUUACUGGGCGUAAAGCGUGCGCAGGCGGCGCGUUAAGACAGGUGUGAAAGCCCCGAGCUUAACUUGGGAAUUGCGCUUGUGACUGGCGAGCUGGAGUGUGGCAGAGGGAGGUGGAAUUCCACGUGUAGCAGUGAAAUGCGUAGAUAUCGGAAGGAACAUCAGUGGCGAAAGCGGCUUCCUGGUCCAGCACCGACGUUCAGGCACGAAAGCGUGGGGAGCAAACAGG
rnacentral:rRNA from 1 species